rnacentral:tRNA from 1 species
UAUAAGGCGGUGUUACUAGCUGCACGUAAGUUUUUGGUACUUAAAGAAAACGUAGUUUCCUUAUAA